AUGAUGCAUCUUCCUGGAUGGUGUGUAGGCUGUUUGUCAACUUCCUGGAUGGUGUGUAGGCUAUUUGUCAACAUUUGAAACCCACGUGUAUUUCAGGGAGUAGUCUCCCCUUUUAAAGAUCAAAAAUGGCGGAUAUACAAUGCGGCAUGUAGUCUGGUCAUCAACGGAAAGUUUCGACACCCGUAUACCCGUAUUUCUACCAAUCACCUCUGUAACCUUUGUUGUGUUCAUUAGACAGGUGAUGGACCACUCUACUUCCUUUUAUAACAGGUGCCCCUACAGAUUCACAAAGUUCCAAUGUUGAGUUUCCAUGACCGCUAUUCAGUGAGUGCACAACUUUAUGUAUUCUACUUUCAAAUUUCUACUACUUGUAAUACAUUUUGGAUUUGAUUUUAAAUAUGCCCUAUUCACAGAUUCAGAUUUUUGUGUACAAGUAUGAUAUUUAAUUCUAUCAAGAUUACUUCGUCCUAAAGU